UGCCAGACUCCUACGGGAGGCAGCAGUGGGGAAUAUUGGGCAAUGGGCGCAAGCCUGACCCAGCAACGCCGCGUGAAGGAAGAAGGCUUUCGGGUUGUAAACUUCUUUUAAGAGGGAAGAGUAGAAGACGGUACCUCUUGAAUAAGCCACGGCUAACUACGUGCCAGCAGCCGCGGUAAUACGUAGGUGGCAAGCGUUGUCCGGAUUUACUGGGUGUAAAGGGCGUGUAGCCGGGUUGACAAGUCAGAUGUGAAAUCCUGCGGCUUAACCGCAGAACUGCAUUUGAAACUGUUGAUCUCGAGUACUGGAGAGGCAGACGGAAUUCCUAGUGUAGCGGUGAAAUGCGUAGAUAUUAGGAGGAACACCAGUGGCGAAGGCGGCCUGCUGGACGACAACUGACGGUGAGGCGCGAAAGCGUGGGGAGCAAACAGGAUUAGAUACCCUCGUAUG
rnacentral:rRNA from 1 species